GGAUGAGCCCGCGGCCUAUCAGCUUGUUGGUGGGGUAAUGGCCUACCAAGGCGGCGACGGGUAGCCGGCCUGAGAGGGUGUACGGCCACAUUGGGACUGAGAUACGGCCCAGACUCCUACGGGAGGCAGCAGUGGGGAAUAUUGCACAAUGGGCGCAAGCCUGAUGCAGCGACGCCGCGUGGGGGAUGAAGGCCUUCGGGUUGUAAACUCCUUUCGCUAGGGACGAAGCUUUGUUGUGACGGUACCUAGAUAAGAAGCACCGGCUAACUACGUGCCAGCAGCCGCGGUAAUACGUAGGGUGCGAGCGUUGUCCGGAAUUACUGGGCGUAAAGGGCUCGUAGGUGGUUUGUCGCGUCGUCUGUGAAAUUCUGGGGCUUAACUCCGGGCGUGCAGGCGAUACGGGCAUAACUUGAGUGCUGUAGGGGUAACUGGAAUUCCUGGUGUAGCGGUGAAAUGCGCAGAUAUCAGGAGGAACACCGAUGGCGAAGGCAGGUUACUGGGC
rnacentral:rRNA from 1 species